AUUGAACGCUGGCGGCAUGCCUUACACAUGCAAGUCGAACGGUAACAGGGAGCUUGCUCCGCUGACGAGUGGCGAACGGGUGAGUAAUGUAUCGGAACGUACCUUUUAGUGGGGGAUAACGUAGCGAAAGUUACGCUAAUACCGCAUAUUCUCUGAGGAGGAAAGCAGGGGACCUUCGGGCCCUGCGCUAAUAGAGCGGCUGAUAUCAGAUUAGCUAGUUGGGGAGGUAAAGGCUCACCAAGGCGACGAUCUGUAGCGGGUCUGUGAGGAUGGUCCGCCACACUGGAACUGAGACCCGGUCCAGACUCCUACGGGAGGCAGCAGUGGGGAAUUUUGGACAAUGGGGGCAACCCUGAUCCAGCCAUGCCGCGUGAGUGAAGAAGGCCUUCGGGUUGUAAAGCUCUUUCGGCCGGGAAAAAAUCGCAUGGGUUAAUACCCUGUGUGGAUGAUGGUACCGGAAUAAGAAGCACCGGCUAACUACGUGCCAGCCGCCGCUGUAAUAC
rnacentral:rRNA from 1 species